UCCAGGGUUUUUGAUCUCAACGAAAAGAGGAAGAAAGUCAAAAUCAUUGAAGAGGUAUUAUCUUAACUUCCAUUCAACUUAUCCGCCAAUGCAAAAAUAAAUGAUGAUAAUGUCAAAAGGAAGCGGAGUAGGACCAUGGAAAGUAAUAUCGCUGUGACUAAAUGAAGACACAGAAAACAUGAAAACCUGAUACUGAUGCUGCCUCAAGUGAUUUUAGUUGCAUAUUGAAGAAAACUGAAUGUGAUAAAAUGUAGACUCUAUACCUGUAGCGCUAGCAUUGUGUAAAACGCUAGUUCUAUAUAUCAACGCUAGCAACAGUAACUUUAAAACACA